rnacentral:rRNA from 1 species
CCUACGGGUGGCAGCAGUGGGGAAUAUUGCACAAUGGGGGAAACCCUGAUGCAGCAACGCCGCGUGAGUGAUGACGGCCUUCGGGUUUUAAAGCUCUGUCUUCAGGGACGAUAAUGACGGUACCUGAGGAGGAAGCCACGGCGAACUACGGUCCAGCAGCCGCGGUAAUACGUUGGUGGCGAGCGUUUUCCGGAUUUACUGGUCGUCAAGGGAGCGUAGGCGAACUUUUAAGUGAGAUGGGAAAUACUCGGGCUCAACUUGAGUGCUGCAUUUCAAACUGGAAGUCUAGAGUGCAGGAGAGGAGAAUGGAAUGCCUAGUGUAGCGGUGAAAUGCGUAGAGAUUAGGAAGAACACCAGUGGCGAAGGCGAUUCUCUGGACUGUAACUGACGCUGAGGCACGAAGGCCAGGGGAGCGAAAGGGAUUAGAUACCCUUGUAGUC